rnacentral:tRNA from 2 species
GGAAUGGUGGCCGAGAGGCUGAAGGCGCAGGUUUGCUAAACCUGUGUAGGGGAAACUCUACCGAGGGUUCGAAUCCCUCCCAUUCCG